rnacentral:rRNA from 1 species
CACGUAGGGGGCAAGCGUUGUCCGGAUUUAUUGGGCGUAAAGAGCUCGUAGGUGGCUCGGCAAGUCGGGUGUUAAACCCCCAGGCUCAACCUGGGGACGCCACUCGAUACUGCUGUGGCUAGAGUCCGGUAGGGGAGCGUGGAAUUCCUGGUGUAGCGGUGAAAUGCGCAGAUAUCAGGAGGAACACCAAUGGCGAAGGCAGCUCGCUGGAACGGAACUGACGCUGAGGCGCGAAAGCGUGGGGAGCGAACAGG